CCUUACUUCGGUACAUCCAAGACAGGUGGUGCAUGGUUGUCGUCAGCUCGUGUCGUGAGAUGUUGGGUUAAGUCCCGCAACGAGCGCAACCCUUACCUUCAGUAGCCAGCAGGUAAAGCCGGGCACUCUGGAGAGACUGCCGGGGAUAACCCGGAGGAAGGUGGGGAUGACGUCAAAUCAUCAUGCCCCUUAUGAUUUGGGCUACACACGUGCUACAAUGGCGUAAACAGAGGGAAGCGAGCCCGCGAGGGGGAGCAAAUCCCAAAAAUAACGUCCCAGUUCGGAUUGUAGUCUGCAACCCGACUACAUGAAGCUGGAAUCGCUAGUAAUCGCGGAUCAGAAUGCCGCGGUGAAUACGUUCCCGGGUCUUGUACACACCGCCCGUCACACCAUGGGAGUCGGAAAUGCCCGAAGUCUGUGACCUAACCGCAAGGGAGGAGCAGCCGAAGGCAGGUCGGAUGACUGGGGUGAAGUCGUAACAAGGUAGCCGUAUCGGAAGGUGCGGCUGGAUCACCUC
rnacentral:rRNA from 1 species